GCUGGCCCGGCUAAAGGAACUCACCGGCGGUGAAUGAUUGAAAACCCUGGAGCUCCCGUGAUGCUCCCCCUCCGUCCCUACGGGCCAAUGAUUGACGACGGCCAUGGGGGAGAAAUGCAAGCCUACCAGUAUUGGCCUUUCUCCUCUUCAGACCUAUAUAACUGGAAAAAUAACAAUCCCCCUUUUUCCGAGGACCCCACCCGGCUCACAGGUCUGGUUGAGUCAUUGAUGUUUUCACACCAGCCUACUUGGGAUGACUGCCAACAACUCCUAGGGACUCUCUUCAUGACAGAGGAACGAGAGAGAAUCCUCCUGGAAGCUAGAAAAAAAUAUCCUCGGACCAGAUGGGCAACCGACACAACUUCCCAACAUAAUCAAAGCCGGCUUCCCCUUGAACCGACCCAACUGGGACCCCAACACCUUUGAAGGUAGGGAGCAUCUGUCCACUUAUCGCUGGGCUCUAAUAGUGGGUUUCUGAGCGGCCGCUAGGCGACCAACUAAUUUGGCCAAGGUAAGAGAGAUUAUUCAAGGGCCUGAUGAAUCUCCCUCUAUGUUUCUAGAGAGAAUUAUGGAGGCAUAUAGGAGAUAUAUUCCUUUCGAUCCUCAGGCAGAGGAUCAAAAGGCAUCUGUCACAAUGGCCUUUAUUGGGCAAGCUGCCCUGGAUAUUAAAAAAAAGUUACAACACUUAGAUGGAUUACAAGAUAUGACUUUGAGAGAUUUAGUCAGAGAAGCCGAGAAGGUAUACUAUAAGAGAGAAACUGAGGAAGAGAAGGAACAAAGGAGGGAGAAAGAAAGGGAGCAAAGGAUGAGAGAAGCAAAAGACAGACUAAGGCAUUGACUAAGGUCCUGGUCACAACAAUAAAUAGGCCAGAAAUUAAGAAACAGGGAGACAGGAAAGGAUACCUGGGCCCACGCCAGAGGCCACCCCUGGCCUCAGAGCAAUGUGCCUAUUGUAAAGAAAAAGGACAUGGGGCCAAAGAGUGCCCUAGAAAGAGACAGCCAUGCCAGCCAGCCAUUCUGACUCUGGAGGAUGACUAGGAAAGUCGGGGCUCAGAUCCCCUCCCCGAGCUCAGGGUAACUUUUGAAGUGGAGGGGACCCCAGUAAACUUUGAAGUGGAUACAGGGGCAGUAUACUCAGCCCUUAAGGCCCCAUUGGGCCCUCUAUCAAAUAAAAGGUCUCUAGUUCAAGGGGCUAAUGGCAGUAAAUAUGGCUUGGACAACUAAGAGGACCAUGGACCUGGGGAAAGGAAAAGUCCAUCACUCCUUCCUAGUAAUCCCAGAAUGCCCGGCUCCAUUGAUGGGCAGAGAUCUGCUCACCAAGCUCCGCGCCAGAAUAACUUUUAACCCUGAAGGCCCCCAAGUGGAAUUUCUAAAUCCUUCAGUAAAAACUCCUAUAGUCACAGCUUUAACUAUGUCAGUAGAAGAUGAACAUCAACUCUUCACACCCCCCAAAACUGAUCAAACAGGCAAGCUACCCCAGAAAUGGAUAACAGAUUACCCAGAUGCCUGGGCAGAAACUGCUGGGUUAGGCCUAGCCGUGAAACAACCUCCAAUAACAGUGGAGUUAAAAACCUCAGCCUCCCCAAUCAAUGUCAAACAAUAUCCUCUGAGCAAAGAAGCUAAAGAUGGGAUAAGGCCCCAUAUUCAGAAAUAUCUGGCCUUAGGGGUCCUAAGGCCCUGUCAAUCGGCCUGGAACACUCCCCUGCUACCAGUAAAAAAGCCAGGAACCAGGGACUAUUGCCCCGUUCAAGACCUAAGAGAGAUCAAUAACAGAGUGCAGGACAUUCACCCCACAGUACCUAAUCCGUACAAUCUGCUUAGCAAUCUGAACCCUGAGCGGAAAUGGUAUACUGUUCUGGACUUAAAAGAUGCUUUCUUUUGCUUGCCUCUGCAUAAAGAUAGUCAGUUGCUAUUUGCUUUCGAGUGGGUAGACCCAGAAACAAGAACGUCUGGUCAACUAACUUGGACUAGACUCCCACAGGGGUUCAAAAACUCCCCCACUCUCUUUGAUGAAGCCCUCCACAGAGAUCUCAACAACUUCAGAACUACGCACCCCGAAGUCACCCUGCUUCAAUAUGUGGAUGACCUGCUACUGGCAGCCGACACCAAGAAAAACUGUGAGUCUGGAACCCAAGCACUAUUAACUGAGCUUGCUCAACUCGGGUAUAGAGCGUCUGCCAAAAAGGCCCAAAUUUGCCAGCAAGAAGUAAUCUUCCUGGGCUAUUCCCUUAGGGGCAGUAAACGAUGGCUCACUGAGCCCAGAAAACAAACCGUUGUGCAGAUACCACCCCCAUCUAACAGGAGGCAACUCAGAGAGUUUCUUGGGACUGCUGGCUUUUGCAGGUUAUGGAUACCUGGGUUUGCGUCCUUAGCUGCUCCUUUAUACCCCCUGUUAAAGGGAGAUGCCCAAUUCCAAUGGACCCCUGAGCACCAGCAAGCUUUUGAUAACAUCAAAAGGGCGCUGCUAUCUGCUCCGGCCUUAGCACUCCCGGAUGUAGAAAAACCCUUUACUCUUUACAUUGAGGAAAAGAAAGGAAUAGCACGAGGAGUGCUCACUCAGAUUCUAGGGCCCUGGAAAAGGCCUGUAGCCUACUUGUCUAAAAAGCUGGACCCAGUGGCUAGUGGAUGGCCCCAUUGCCUAAAAGCUAUAGCAGCGGCGGUCCUUCUAAUCAAGGAUGCUGAUAAGUUAACGCUGGGGCAGAAGCUAACCAUUAUAGCCCAACAUGCUCUAGAGAGCAUCAUCCGCCAGCCACCAGACAGAUGGCUAUCAAACUCUAGAAUAACACACUAUCAGAGCCUGUUGCUCGACAAAGACAGAAUAACGCUGGGACCCCCCGACCCGCUUAACCCGGCUACACUACUACCUGAACAAUCAUCAGGACCUAUCACUCAUGAAUGUCAACAUAUACUGGCAGAAGAAACCAGUAUACGACGGGAUUUAAAGGAUCAGCCACUGCCCCACCCUGAGGUCAUAUGGUUCACUGAUGGCAGCAGCUUUGUGGCGGGCUGGGGCAGCAAUAGUUAGUGGAACUAAAGUCAUCUGGUCCUCUAGCCUCCCAGAGGGAACAUCGGCUCAAAAGGCAGAGCUGAUCGCCCUCACGAAGGCAUUGGAGCUAGUGGCAGGCAAAAAGGCCACCAUAUACACAGAUAGCCGCUAUGCCUUCGCUACCGCUCAUAUACACGGGGCUAUCUACCAGAAAAGGGGACUAUUAACCUCGGCGGGAAAAGAAAUAAAAAACAGAGAUGAGAUCCUCCGCCUCCUCUCAGCAGUGCAAAGCCCUAGGGAACUAGCUAUAGUGCACUGUCCAGGACACCAGAAAGGAAACGAUCCCGUAGCGGUCGGGAACAGGAGGGAGGAUGAAGAGGCUAAAUUGGCAGCCCUAAACGGAGUAACCAUGUUAACACUUUCCACACCGGGGGGAACAUAAGUCAGGAGAUUUAACUACGUCGGAGCACCCCAACAACUUAACAUCUAAGGACACUGACACUGAACUCCUCGACUUCACUGAGCCCAGCCUGCUAUUUCAGAAAGCCCUACACUACAUUAAAAAUGUACAUCAACUCACUCACCUUGGUUCAAAGAAACUGCAGGCAUUCCUGAAGGAUCAAGAACAGAGUUUUCCACUAACCGACUCACAGCGAAAGGAAAUAGCUGAACGGGUAACAAAAGCCUGUAGGGUCUGUCAAUUGGUUAAUGCUUACCCUUCCAAGCUUCCUGCAGGAAAGCGCCUAUGAGGAACCAGACCACGACAAUUCUGGGAAGUGGACUUUACUGAAAUUAAGCCAGCAAGGUAUGGACUUAAAUAUCUCCUAGUCUUUGUAGAUACAUUUUCAGGAUGGAUUGAAGCCUUCCCCACAAAAAAAGAAACAGCGCAAAUGGUGGUCAAAAAGAUCCUGGAAGAUAUUUUUCCAAGAUACGGCCUGCCUAAGGUAAUAGGGUCUGAUAAUGGACCAGCGUUCGUGGCCCAGGUAAGUCAGGGGUUAGCCAGGACCCUGGGGAUUAAUUGGAAGUUACAUUGUGCUUAUAGACCCCAGAGCUCAGGACAGGUAGAAAAAAUAAAUAGAACCAUUAAAGAGACCUUAACAAAAUUAAGCUUAGAGACCGGCAUAAAAGAUUGGACUAUGCUCCUGCCUUAUGCACUGUUUCGUGCAAGAAAUACUCCCUCUGUUUCUUUGUGUAACCUCACCCCCUAUGAAAUUCUCUAUGGUGCCCCUCCUCCAGUAAGGGACCUAACCCCAACUCUAAGACCUAACGAUUCCUUUCACACCCCCUUGCUUGACAGACUUAAAGCUUUUGAAAGAACCCAGCGAUACCUGUGGAAACAGCUGGCCACUGCCUACCAACCUGGGGACGAAAGGACUCCACACCGAUAUCAAGUGGGAGACUUCGUCUACGUAAGACGACAUCAGGUGUCAUUCCUGGAACCCCGCUGGAAAGGACCAUACCAGGUGCUACUUAUAACACCUACAGCGGUAAAGGUAGACGGAAUCACUUCCUGGAUCCAUGCCUCUCAUCUCAAGCCUGCGCCCUGUCCAGACUCUGGCUGGAAAUCCUAAGUUAACCCUCCCAGAAGUAACCGGGGCAGGCUUAUGUAUAGGGUCCCCACCUAAAAGUAAACAACACUUAUGUACCCAGAUAAAAAAAAUUAGCACCACACAGGGUUUCCUUACCCCUGAAAAUGGAACCUGGUGGGCAUGUGAUUCAGGGUUAACUCCUUGCAUUUCAGCCCAGGUAUUUAACAGCUCUGUAAAUUAUUGUGUAAUGGUGCAGAUGUUUCCCAGAGUGCUCUAUCACGACGCAGGUUCAUUUGAAGAUCAAAUAGGGGGGCAUACAACCCGGUUCUGCCGGGAACCUGUAUCCCUCACUUUAGCCAUCCUAUUAGGAAUAGGAGUUGCUGCAGAGAUGGGCACAGGAACCACUGCCCUGGUCCAUGGGACACAACAAAUGACCCAAUUGGAAGCAGCAAUAGACCAAACCUUAAAGAUAUUAGAAACCUCCAUCACAGCUUUACAGGAAUCUUUAACCUCUCUCUCUAAAGUUGUUUUACAGAACAGGCGAGGGUUGGACCUCCUCUUCAUGAGAGAAGGGGGCCUUUGUGCUGCAUUGAGGGAAGAAUGUUGUUUUUAUGCCGACCAUACUGGAGUUGUAAAAGAAUCUAUGAGUAAAUUAAAAAGACGCCUUGAAGAGCGUCAGCGAGAGAUAGAGGCCCAAAAAGGGUGGUUUGAGUCUUGGUUCACACAGUCCCCCUGGUUAACUACGCUUUUAUCAGCUCUGGCCGGUCCAUUAAUAAUCCUCAUAUUAUUGCUAACUGUAGGACCCUGUUUGCUCAACCGUGUAGUUUCCUUUCUCCAAGCUCAAAUUGGACAAGUUAAACUUAUGGUAAUCAGACAACAAUAUGCCUCACUGGCAGAAAUAGAGUGUGAUACCCCUCAAUAAUUAUGAUUUCUUACUUUUAAGAUUAAAAGUAGUCAGAAAAAGAAGUGGGGAAUGAAAAGGUUAAGAAUGUAAAAAUUAAGUUCUGUUUUCCUGGAACCUGAAACUCAUGUAGAAGUUGAAAACAACUCCCGGAAAUGCCCACUAAAUGUAUGUUGAAAUCUCCCCUGAUCAUCUGGUUGCUCUACGAAAACAACCCCUCCCAGAAACCAUGCAAUGAUUGGCUAUGCUGUAUGUGAAGUCCCUGCCCUCUCCAAGGAAAGUAUAUAAGCUCUGCUUAAGCUGUUCCCGGGGCUCUCUCUGCUCUAUUCAAGUGAGCUCUGAGCCCCAGCAUGCUGGACCCCCAAUAAACCCUUUGCUGUUGCAUGAGACAGUCUCUUGG
rnacentral:lncRNA from 1 species